rnacentral:lncRNA from 1 species
CCCCCUCAGCCUGCGGGCAGCAGAAGGCGGCGGCCAGCCUCCUCCUGCCCCUCGGCCGGACGAACCGCGGCUGCCGCGCCUGUCACCUCUGCACCUGCCCGGCUGAGGUGAGAUGCCUGGCGCGCAAGUAGAAAAAUCUGAAAUUUGAAACAGAAAUGGCCACAUAAGGACAACUCAGAUGAAGUGCAGGCGGGCUGACAUCGCGCACUUGGGUCUUUCCGGGAAAGACAGCCGCGCUCUGGGAGAAGCCUAGUCCUCCGGCUUGUCCCCGGACCCGCCCCAAAGGCCGCUGGGAGCUCGGUGAGGACGUGGCGGUCCCCUUGCUCAUCUGACUCCGGAGGCAGGUUCCGCAGAAAGAGCUCUCAAUCUCGGCCGCUGGGCUCCAAGAUAAUCUCCUGGCGAAAGCUAAGAGGCGGCCAUCCCUUCCCGGGGACUCAGCCCCUAGAUUCAGCUUCUUCCGCCGCAAAAAACUCCCAAGCCCUGCGAACUCGCAACUUGCCUCUCCAGGCUUCCGGCGUGGGCGUCCCAGCUACACUUUCGAGCACUUUGCUUGGCCGGCAUCUACCCGCUCUUCGAUUAAGGAAAGCGCAGUGGGGACAGAGGCAACUCCUGCCUCCUGUACCAGGCCUACGUAGUCGCCCAGGUGGCCGGGUCACAAAUAAACAAUUCCACCAUCAAGAAACCCGCUAACCUCUGUACCCCGCUAACCUCUGAAAACCUAAUACUGAUCCAGGUCUCCCAAAUAAUCUGAAUCUCCCCCAGUCCUUCCGGUGGAACAGCUAGCCUGAGCGCAGGGAAAAUUGACAAGGAGCCUUCAGCUAGCCUUCUAGCUUUGAGCUUGAGUAGGG